UACGUAGGGGGCAAGCGUUGUCCGGAUUUAUUGGGCGUAAAGAGCGUGUAGGCGGUUAGGUAGGUCCGUUGUGAAAACUCGAGGCUCAACCUCGAGACGCCGAUGGAAACCGUCUGGCUAGAGUCCGGAAGAGGAGAGUGGAAUUCCCGGUGUAGCGGUGAAAUGCGCAGAUAUCGGGAAGAACACCCGUGGCUAAGGCGGCUCUCUAGUACGGUACUGACGCUGAGACGCGAAAGCGUGGGGAGCGAACAGG
rnacentral:rRNA from 1 species